rnacentral:misc_RNA from 1 species
AAGACUAUAGACCUGCGGAGUACCUGCGGAGGGAUCAUUAACGUAUCUAUGAUGGGGUGCGGAGCGCCCUGCUCCGGUCGAACGGCCGUGCAGCGGGUGCGCCGCCCCCGUCCCACCUCACAAACCCACUGUGAACAUUCACCGGUGGAGGGGGCUCGGUCUGCGCCGUGUCCCCGAUGCCGAAUACCCAACCUCCAGUUGCAAAGAACGUCGUGCGGACUCGGUGCCGCCUAAAACAUG